CCAAUAGCGUAUAUUAAAGUUGUUGCAGUUAAAAAGCUCGUAGUUGAAUUUCGGGAUCAAUGCGUCGGUCGUGCCUUCGGUACGUACUAGCGUCAUCGAUUCCUCCCUUCUGAAGAACCGUGAUGUCAUUAAUUUGGUGUUACGGGGAAUCAGGACUGUUACCUUGAAAAAAUUAGAGUGUUUAAAGCAGGCUAACGCUUGAAUACAUUAGCAUGGAAUAAUGAAAUAGGACGUUCGAACCUAUUUUGUUGGUUUCUAGGAUCGACGUAAUGAUUAAUAGGGAUAGUUGGGGGCAUUAGUAUUCAAUUGUCAGAGGUGAAAUUCUUGGAUUUAUUGAAGACUAACUACUGCGAAAGCAUUUGCCAAGGAUGUUUUCAUUAAUCAAGAACGAAAGUUAGGGGAUCGAAGACGAUCAGAUACCGUCGUAGUCUUAACCAUAAACUAUGCCGACUAGGGAUCGGAUGAUGUUAAUUUUAUAAUGACUCAUUCGGCGCCUUACG
rnacentral:rRNA from 1 species